AUAGUUCACUAGUUCAGCAUCAGACGGAUCUUCGAUUUGUGCCGCUCUCGUGUCUGCUGUAAGCCCGGAGUAAGGGAGCUUGCCCUUCAAGAAUCCAUCCAGCAUAACAAAGGAUCUGAAGACCAGAUAAAAUAUGUCACUUCAGCUGCCUCAAAACACAUUUCCAACCAUUCCACUAUGCGAGGUCACCGGCAACACUGCAACUAAAGGAUCCCAUGAAAUCAAGCAACUAACUAGCCCCUGUGGUGAGAUUCCUAAAUAUAACCUUCUACGGCCCGAAAAGAUCGUAAAAUAACUUCGACGUGGUGAGUACGUUGACCUUGGAGGACUAUAUUCUCUUCUAACAUGUCAUGAAUUCGGCCGGGUCACACCAUGAUUCCAUGGAAUCUGAUAGAGCAAACAUUGACCUUACUACGUGACUCAGUCACGGCGACGCCAUUUGCUCGACAAUUUCGAUGACUGGUUGUUAGUAUGGAACAAAUACGAAUUUCAAACAAUCCCAAACUGUAUGACGAGUUAGUGCAAUAUCACAAAGCGAUGCAGAUUGCUAAACGGACGUUUUUGUGCGCCUCAGUUUACGUAAAGGGUUCGUUUUUCCAUACAACUUGCAUUUUAAAAUAUUUUAAAAAAAUAACCAAGUCUACUCGGUUUUCAGUCAACGAUUCAACUCAACUAUCUUGGAAAAUGGAUGCCACUGCUUUCAAGAAAGAUUCACGCUCAUACUGCGAUGUUCAAAUCAUCGCUAACGUACAUUCUACGUGGUACAAACCAUUGGUUAGCUAGGUCUGUAGAUGGUUCUUACAUAAGUACCGUUCAAGUCCAACUCUUGUGUCCUGUCUUUACCAUCUGGACAAUAAGUGACAAUUAUUAUAUCUUCAUUAAACACCAAUCCAAAUGGACAAUAUAGUUGACCGUCGUCUCCUGUUCAUUGGCUGCAAAAACUCUCUCAAAUAGUUUCCAUCAAGAAUAAUAUCUGAAUGAUUACUCUACUCAGCAAUGGCUUCAUUAUCACUUACUGCUAUUGACCAUGGAUUAUGCAACUGUCCUCCACCACUUCGUCCAAAGGUUUUUCACAGGUUUGAACAUUCUGAGGCGAGUUCUUGAUCAUUUCUCCUCCAAUAUUUACCUUAAUUUCUUGCCGUCUAUUUUUGUGUGGCUUAAAACUCACGACGGUAUUUUCCAGUUUGCUCUUGAGGCACUUUCUUUCCCACGUCGUUGCCCUCUAAAUCUUUUAUUCUAACAUCGAUAGACUCGAUUCUUGUGGUACACACUUCUCAUUCUGUAUUCCUGGUGAUUAUCUUGCACUCGUUUAUAAAACGAGGAAAUUAUUUUUUCAGUGACUCAAUUGUGGAUUGAGCAGGGCCCGUCGGGUUCUUCACGAUCCUACCAGUGUUGUUAUGCAUUACUUGCGUGACGAUUUCCUCUGUCACGGAGUAUCGUAUUGUCCAGUCACGUUGGAUUGGCUGACGGUACAAGAUUGAAGGAGCUUCUGAUUGUUGUUGUUUCUCUCCUUCCUUCGGCUUCUCUUCCAAUUCCUUGUGAAUKGUUGGAAAUGCGUCUUUCUUUAGAACUCUCUUGUUUCCAAACGGAGUUCCGAUUAUAUGGACAAAAUGAUGCUCGAAUUCGUCCUCUCUGAAGUGUUCAGAACACAACCGAGAGUUUUUGAAUCUGGAAAGUUGGAACAGCCUCCUGCUACGCAUCUAUAAGGUUAUCAACGUUAUACCUGAAUCUUCCCUUAUUUUUCAAAGUCAUACAGGUUUUACUUCGUGUUACGUUUGAAGAGGAAUAGUCCCGGAGGAGUUCAUCAUUUGUAGUCGUACGAAGAUUGGCAGUCUUUGAGCUGAGACGUUAAAGAUUAAUACAGUAUCAGAUGUUAGAAGGAUGUCGUGAUUGAAAAUGAAAUAUAUUAAUAUGAUUAAUAUAAGAAGAAUGUAA